rfam:Pantoea sp. AS1 15__len__215529, whole genome shotgun sequence.
ACUAACAACGACAACAAGGGCGGCCUCGCUGCCCUCUCGAUUGCUGAAAACCCGGCGCGGACAGACACCCUGCUCAGGUCGUUCCCCUGAAGCAGGCCACACAGACGCCGUUCAUCAAUCUUCAGGGUAGCUUCGCUACCCUUUUUUACCGGAGCUCGU